GGAAUAGGUUGCCAUAGGGCUCUGGUCAAAAGUAGUACACUAUAUAGGGCAGUGGUUCCCAAACUUUUUAUAGUCCCGUACCCCUUCAAACAUUCAACCUCCACCUGUGUACCCCCUCUAGCACCAGGGUCAGCUGUACCCCCUCUAGCCCCAGGGUCAGCUGUACCCCAUCUAGCUCCAGAGUCAGCUGUACCCCAUCUAGCUCCAGAGUCAGCUGUAACCCAUCUAGCUCCAGGGUCAUCUGUACCCCAUCUAGCUCCAGGGUCAGCUGUACCCCAUCUAGCUCCAGGGUCAUCUGUACCCCAUCUAGCUCUAGGGUCAGCUGUACCCCAUCUAGCUCCAGGGUCAGCUGUACCCCAUCUAGCUCCAGGGUCAUCUGUACCCCAUCUAGCACCAGGGUCAGCUGUACCCCAUCUAGCUCCAGGGUCAGCUGUACCCCAUCUAGCACCAGGGUCAGCUGUACCCCAUCUAGCACCAGGGUCAGCUGUACCCCAUCUAGCUCCAGGGUCAGCUGUACCCCAUCUAGCUCCAGGGUCAGCUGUACCCCAUCUAGCUCCAGGGUCAGCUGUACCCCAUCUAGCACCAGGGUCAGCUGUACCCCAUCUAGCUCCAGGGUCAUCUGUACCCCAUCUAGCUCCAGAGUCAGCUGUACCCCAUCUAGCUCCAGGGUCAGCUAUACCCCAUCUAGCUCCAGAGUCAGCUGUACCCCAUCUAGCUCCAGAGUCAGCUGUACCCCAUCUAGCUCCAGGGUCAGCUAUACCCCAUCUAGCUCCAGAGUCAGUUGUACCCCAUCUAGCUCCUGGGUCAGCUGUACCCCAUCUAGCUCCAGGGUCACCUGUACCCCAUCUAGCUCCUGGGUCAGCUGUACCCCAUCUAGCUCCUGGGUCAGCUGUACCCCAUCUAGCUCCUGGGUCAGCUGUACCCCAUAUAGCUCCAGGGUCAGCUGUACCCCAUCUAGCUCCUGUGUCAUCUGUACCCCAUCUAGCUCCAGGGUCACCUGUACCCCAUCUAGCUCCAGGGUCACCUGUACCCCAUCUAGCUCCUGGGUCAGCUGUACCCCAUCUAGCUCCAGGGUCAGCACAUUCUCAAAUGUUGUAUUUUGCCAUCAUGUUAAGCCUGCCACACACACACUAUACGAUACAUUUACUAAACAUAAGAAUGAGUGUGAGUUUUUGUUACAACGCAGCUUGUGGGAAGUGA
rnacentral:lncRNA from 1 species